rnacentral:rRNA from 1 species
GCUUAACGCGAAGAACCUUACCAGCCCUUGACAUGUCCUCUAUGGAUUCCAGAGACGGAGUCCUUCACUUCGGGUGGGAGGAACACAGGUGCUGCAUGGCUGUCGUCAGCUCGUGUCGUGAGAUGUUGGGUUAAGUCCCGCAACGAGCGCAACCCUCGCCUUUAGUUGCCAUCAUUUAGUUGGGCACUCUAAAGGGACUGCCGGUGAUAAGCCGCGAGGAAGGUGGGGAUGACGUCAAGUCCUCAUGGCCCUUACGGGCUGGGCUACACACGUGCUACAAUGGCGGUGACAAUGGGCAGCGAACCAGCAAUGGGGAGCUAAUCUCAAAAAGCCGUCUCAGUUCGGAUUGCACUCUGCAACUCGAGUGCAUGAAGUUGGAAUCGCUAGUAAUCGUGGAUCAGCAUGCCACGGUGAAUACGUUCCCGGGUCUUGUACACACCG